rfam:Gossypium arboreum cultivar AKA8401 contig_71079_3, whole genome shotgun sequence.
AACCCAUGGUGAGGACACUUUCUCAAUAAGUCCUUGUAUCUCUCCUAUGCAUCGUAAAGUGUUUCUAAAUCCAUCUGCACAACAGAAGAAAUAUCAUUCCUCAACUU